GGCUCCAUAGCUCAGUUGGUAGAGCAAAGGAUUGAAAAUCCUUGUGUCGGCGGUUCAAUUCCGUCUGGCGCCA
rnacentral:tRNA from 1 species